GACGAAGGGGGCUAGCGUUGUUCGGAAUCAUUGGGCGUAAAGCGCGUGUAGGCGGUCCGGUAAGUCCGCUGUGAAAGUCGGGGGCUCAACCCUCGGAUGCCGGUGGAUACUGUCGGGCUUGAGUACGGAAGAGGCGAGUGGAAUUCCUGGUGUAGCGGUGAAAUGCGCAGAUAUCAGGAGGAACACCAAUUGCGAAGGCAGCUCGCUGGGACGUUACUGACGCUGAGACGCGAAAGCGUGGGGAGCAAACAGG
rnacentral:rRNA from 1 species